rnacentral:rRNA from 1 species
UACGAAGGGUGCGAGCGUUGUUCGGAAUUAUUGGGCGUAAAGGGUUCGUAGGCGGGAGAGCGAGUUGAGUGUGAAAACCCCGGGCUUAACCUGGGACGUGCACUCAAGACUGUUUUUCUUGAGUAUGGGAGAGGGUGGUGGAAUUGCUGGUGUAGGAGUGACAUCCGUAGAGAUCAGCAGGAACGCCGGAGGCGAAAGCGACCACCUGGCCCGUAACUGACGCUGAGGAACGAAAGCGUGGGGAGCAAACAGG